UUAUAGAUGUUCCUGGCCAACGUGGUGGGAACAUCACAAUGUGCGCUGCCAUCUCCAGUAUGCAUGGUGUCCUCCACCAUCAUGCCAACCUUGGACCAACACAGCCCAUAUUCUCACAUUUCUGGACAAACUUCACAACAUUCUCAUACCACCAGAGCGUAUGAAUGAUGCAGACCAUCAAAGAAACCGAUUCCUGUAUGGCCUUCACUUUAAAAAUCAAACACAGAGAUUUCAAACCAUACUGUAAACACAAAAAAAGACAAUUUUACAGAAAAAAUAUUUAUUUGACAAUUCUGCCAAGCGACACAUUUUCUGUCAGCAUGAAAUGCAAAACUUGGACUUGGAUAUAGUUCUAAUCCAGUCAUCAAAAUAAAAUAAAAUAAAA